CCGAAAUUGCCCUCAAGUCCAGAAUCGCC
rnacentral:piRNA from 1 species